rnacentral:rRNA from 1 species
AACGAACGCUGGCGGCAUGCCUAACACAUGCAAGUCGAACGAGACCUUCGGGUCUAGUGGCGCACGGGUGCGUAACGCGUGGGAACCUGCCCUUAGGGUCGGAAUAACUCCCCGAAAGGGGUGCUAAUACCGGAUAAUGUCUUCGGACCAAAGAUUUAUCGCCUUUGGUGGGACCCGCGUUGGAUUAGCUAGUUGUUAGGGUAAAAGCCUACCAAGGCGACGAUCCAUAGAUGGUCAGAGAGGCUGAUCAGCCACACUGAGACUGAGAAACGGCCCAGACUCCUCCGGGAGGCAGGAGUGCCUGAUAUUGCAAAGCCGGCUAAAGCAUGAUGGACUACUGCCGCGUGAACGAUGAAGGCCUUAGAGUAGUAAAGUGCUUUUAACUGGGAUGGUAUUGACGGUACCGGGACAAAAAGCCCCGGCUAACUCCGUG